GACGAACGCUGGCGGCGUGCCUAAUACAUGCAAGUCGAGCGAGUCUGCCUUGAAGAUCGGAGUGCUUGCACUCUGUGAAACAAGAUACAGGCUAGCGGCGGACGGGUGAGUAACACGUGGGUAACCUGCCCAAGAGAUCGGGAUAACACCUGGAAACAAAUGCUAAUACCGGAUAACAACAGAUGAUGCCUAUCAACUGUUUAAAAGAUGGUUCUGCUAUCACUCUUGGAUGGACCUGCGGUGCAUUAGCUAGUUGGUAGGGUAACGGCCUACCAAGGCGAUGAUGCAUAGCCGAGUUGAGAGACUGAUCGGCCACAUUGGGACUGAGACACGGCCCAAACUCCUACGGGAGGCAGCAGUAGGGAAUCUUCCACAAUGGACGCAAGUCUGAUGGAGCAACGCCGCGUGAGUGAAGAAGGGUUUCGGCUCGUAAAGCUCUGUUGUUGGUGAAGAAGGACAGGGGUAGUAACUGACCUUUGUUUGACGGUAAUCAAUUAGAAAGUCACGGCUAACUACGUG
rnacentral:rRNA from 1 species